CCUACGGGUGGCAGCAGUGAGGAAUAUUGGUCCAUGGACGCAAGUCUGAACCAGCCAAGUAGCGUGCAGGAUGACGGCCCUCCGUGUUGUAAACUGCUUUUAGUUGGGAAUAAAAGGGGGCUCGUGAGCCCCGUAUUGUAUGUACCAUCAGAAAAAGGACCGGCUAAUUCCGUGCCAGCAGACGCGGUAAUACGGAGGAUUCCAGCGUUAUCCGGAUUUAUUGGGUUGAAAGGUGGCGUAGGCGGUCUGAUAAGUUAGAGGUGAAAUCCCGAGGCUCAACGUCGUAAUUGCUGCUGAUACUGUGCGGCUAGAGAGUAGUUGCGGUAGGCGGAAUGUAUGGUGUAGCGGUGAAAUGCUUAGAGAUCAUACAGAACACCGAUUGCGAAGGCAGCUUACCAAGCUACUUCUGACGUUGAGGCACGAAAGCGUGGGGAGCAAACAGGAUUAGAUACCCCAGUAGUC
rnacentral:rRNA from 1 species